AGUAUUGGCCGUGUAGCCGAAAAACUGAUUGACUGGGCUGAGGUUAACUGCGCGGAGGCAGGUUGGAGUGGGAUGACACAAUCUCAGUUCACUGCAGCCUCCGCCUCCCGGGUUCAAGUGAUUCUCAUGCCUUAGCUUCUCAAGUAGCUGGGAUUACAGGAUUUCCCUGGGGAGAGUCUUCACUCAGAGCUUCGCUGACAGCCAAGGAUGGCAAGCAAGGGGCCCUCGGCCUCUUCAUCUCCUGAGAACUCCAGUGCAGGGGGGCCCAGUGGGAGCAGCAAUGGCGCUGGUGAGAGCGGAGGGCAGGACAGCACUUUCGAGUGCAACAUCUGCUUGGACACAGCCAAGGAUGCCGUCAUCAGCCUGUGUGGCCACCUCUUCUGUUGGCCAUGUUUACAUCAGAGAGAAGACCCCUCCUCGUCCUCAAGGACAGAGACCAGAGCCGGAGAAUAGAGGGGUGAGGAACAUUCUAGGAGAAGCUUCUACAAAUGAGCUGAUGGCUUUAGAAGUUU
rnacentral:sRNA from 1 species